rnacentral:snRNA from 1 species
ACUAACUUUAGAACUGUAUUUACUAUCUUUGUGGGAACGAUACAGAGAAGAUUAGCAAGGCCCCUGAGCAAGGAUGACACCGGCAGACGGAACUCCCAUGCCGCAGAAUGUUUUU